UAUAUAUACAAUGUAAUACUUACGUCCAGCGGACUUCGUUGUUCUAUACGCACAAACGGAAAAUGGGAGUCAUCCUUAUUUUGUUCGCUGUCGCCGUCUUUAUGAAUCAAGGAAGUGGAGCCUAUGGUGUUGAUAACAACUAUUAGUGCUACAGCUGGACAGAAGCAGAUCAUGCUGCUAUGGGACCUUCUCCUUUAGCGGAGGCAGAAACACAACAGUGUCAGAGUUACCCAGGCAACAUUUUUACACAUGGAAACAACGCGGAAUAUCCCAAUUGUGAGGGUUGUUGGUAUUGUAAACGAGCAGGGUGAUAGGUCACUCAUACCGGUCACCGUGGCCCAGUGGUUAAGGCGUUCGCCUCGGGAUCGGGAGGUUGAAGGUUCGAGCCCCAUGGGAAGCGUUCGUCAGGGGGAUGUUCGUUAUGAGACUCCUUCCGAAAAGGCCGGUUCGUGAGCCGCGAGCUAGUUAAAUGAAUGGUUACUGACUUCUAUCCGCCUGGCGCCUGACAUUGUGGUAGGAGUUAAGAGAUUACAACUUAUUACAGCUACAGUUGGACAGAAGCAGAUCAUGCUAAUAUGGGACCUUUUCCUUCAGUGGAGGACAGAAACACAACAGUGUUGAGAGUUACCCAGGCAACAUUUUUACACACGGAAACAACGCGGAAUAUCCCAAUUGUGAGGGUUAAUGAUGUUGUAAACGAGCAGGUACUUUGCUUUAGACGAACAUCUUUAUAAAUAUACAGGAAACAUGUUUGCAGACAAAUCAUUUCGGAUAUAAGAUAUAUUAUGAUACAAAGUUAAUUGAAUUGUAUAAUAGGAUACUGUUGCACCGAUAGCUUGCACGGUACAAUAUUUAAGAUUUCCAAUGGCCAUCUUCCACUAAAAUAUUUGAUCUUGGAUUUGGUAUUUAUUUCAGAUGUAUAAAUCCUCAUUAAAGAACUUUAACUUUUCUAAAUAUAUAAAUUAAGUUUCAUAUAGAACGUAUAUUCAUAACAGAAUGUCAUGCAGCAACAA
rnacentral:lncRNA from 1 species